rnacentral:rRNA from 1 species
UGGGGAAUAUUGCACAAUGGGGGAAACCCUGAUGCAGCCAUGCCGCGUGUGUGAAGAAGGCCUUCGGGUUGUAAAGCACUUUCAGCGAGGAGGAAAGGAGGAUAGCUAAUACCUAUUCUCUGUGACGUUACUCGCAGAAGAAGCACCGGCUAACUCCGUGCCAGCAGCCGCGGUAAUACGGAGGGUGCAAGCGUUAAUCGGAAUUACUGGGCGUAAAGCGCACGCAGGCGGUCAGAUAAGUCAGAUGUGAAAGCCCCGGGCUCAACCUGGGAACUGCAUUUGAAACUGUCUGACUAGAGUCUUGUAGAGGGGGGUAGAAUUCCAGGUGUAGCGGUGAAAUGCGUAGAGAUCUGGAGGAAUAGCGGUGGCGAAGGCGGCCCCCUGGACAAAGACUGACGCUCAGGUGCGAAAGCGUGGGGAGCAAACA